AGAGUUUGAUCCUGGCUCAGGACGAACGCUGGCGGCGUGCUUAACACAUGCAAGUCGAACGGGACGAUUGAAAGCUUGCUUUUGAAAGUCGAGUGGCAAACGGGUGAGUAACGCGUAGACAACCUGCCGCAAAGAUGGGGACAACAGUCCGAAAGGACUGCUAAUACCGAAUGUUGUGCAUUCUCCGCAUGGAAGAUGCAUUAAAGAUGGCCUCUACUUGUAAGCUAUCGCUUUGCGAUGGGUCUGCGUCUGAUUAGCUAGUUGGUGGGGCAACGGCCUACCAAGGCGACGAUCAGUAGCCGGUCUGAGAGGAUGAACGGCCACAUUGGAACUGAGACACGGUCCAGACUCCUACAGGAGGCAGCAGUGGGGAAUCUUCCGCAAUGGGCGAAAGCCUGACGGAGCAACGCCGCGUGAGUGAAGAAGGUCUUCGGAUCGUAAAGCUCCGUUGUCGGGGACGAAUGUUGAGGCCUAGAAUAUAGGUUUCAAAUGACGGUACCUGACGAGGAAGCCACGGCUAACUACGUACCAGCAGCCGCGGUAAUACGUAGGUGGCGAGCGUUGUCCGGAAUUAUUGGGCGUAAAGGGAGCGCAGGCGGGAAGGUAAGUCUAUCUUAAAAGUGCGGGGCUCAACCCCGUGAGGGGAUAGAAACUAUCAUUCUUGAGUGCAGGAGAGGAAAGCGGAAUUUCCUAGUGUAGCGGUGAAAUGCGUAGAUANUANAGGAACACCAGUGGCGAAGGCGGCUUUCUGGACUGUAACUGACGCUGAGCUCGAAAGCCAGGGGNGCNANGNNNUAGAUACCCUGNNAGUCCACGCUGUAAACGAUGGGUACUA
rnacentral:rRNA from 1 species